GGCAAACUGGGCAGUUGCUGGGGUGUGUGUGGCAAAUUUGGGGAGGUGGCAUUUGUAUCACCAUCAGCCAUAUACAUCGUACACCACCUGUGACAUAUGGGCUAGGAUGAGCAGGCAUGACCCUGGAUUGGGCAGGAAGGAAAAGGUCUGAGAGGUCUGUUUCUAGGGUUCAAAGGGAAACAGUGGUGGGGGUGGGGAAUCCACUCGGAUCAGACCUGGAAACUGCCAGAUAAAAGAGCAAGUUGCUGCCUUUCCCUGCCGAUCUUUCCUACUGGCUGGAAGUGCUUUGUAGGGCAGCUGGUGAGAUCUGCAACUGCCAGGGAAGAAGCUGGGGGCUGGGGUGGGCAGUGUUGGUGGCUUCAGGAUCAAGGUGAGAUCAAAGCAAGGGCCCCCUCUCAGCGUAGUAAAAGGGGACACCAUCCUGGCAGGGGCUGGCCCCAGUGAUCACACCCAUCCUUCUGGCUACCACUCCAAAAUGGUACCCCCUUCCCUAACAUUGCUAGUUGUUGUGCAAGGGCACUCCUGGGGAGGUCUCACCCCCUCUGUGCUUUGGCACACACAUGCUUGACUCUACUGAAUACAAACCUACUUCACCCUUCCUUUCCUUGUGUAGAAGUUACUGCUGAAGCGGAGGCAAAGGAAGAACAGAGUACAAAAGAGCCCAUGGUGGAAGCUCAGUGAUGUCAGAAGUGUCAUCUUCUAUUCUGCCUUUCAACAGCAUCCAGACACAGCCUGCUCCCACCCUUACAUUGUGUGCUGGCCAAAGCUCUCUAUUAGAUGCUUGGGGGAGGUCGGGGAAACAGAAAUGGAGAAUGACAUGAGAGGGCCUGGUUUGGUACAAGGAGGUAAAUGAGGUGGAAGCAGCCGUCAAGAGAGACUUGGGCCCCAUCUGCACUAUACAUUCAAAGCAGCACCAUACCACUUUCAACAGUCAUGGAUUCCCCUAAAGAAUCCUGGGAACUGAGAGUUGUCAGGGUGCUGAGAGUUGUCAGGACACCCGGAGGACUUCCGGGUUGGCGCCAUCGGUAAUGGCGGUUUCCCUCUGAGUUUCUGAGGGACCAGCUCCGCGGGAUCGGGUCUGACCGCUGCGGCGAAGCGGGGACCCUUCAAAAAUCACAGGCGGGUGAAGCCUGUGAACGUGGGGACUCGGCGGGCACCUUUUGCGCCCCCCCAAACUGCGAAGGGACCCUUUUACGGGCUCCGGAGCGAGACGGGGUGAGCGGCGCGGUGCUGAGAGUCGACUGCUUCUUCCGCGGAGUGAAGCCGCACAGCCGUUAUUGGAGAGUGCUGACUUUUUCCUGGGACAAUUUGACUUCGAAAGUAACUACCCGUGAGUAGGAUAAAAUUGGAUUUAAAGGGAAAAAUAACUUAAUUCGGCACCGAAGCGGGAAGGCAUAAACAGGAAGUCCGCCUUCCGUUCUUGUAAACAGAUCAAAGCAAAGAGACUGUAAGCGGAAACUUUGAAAGACGUUUGAAAAAAGACUUAAAUCCUAACAUCAGAAAAGCGAUCUCCCCUCCGGAUUGCAGAAAAGGAGGGGGGAAAGGUUUGAACUGUAUUUAUCUGCAAAAAAAAAAGAGGGAAGGGAAGCUAAAACCCACUGCUUAGAACCUGGGAACGGACUGCCCUGAGAUAAGGAAUGCCGCUCUGUGAAAAGCACUAUCGGUAAAUAGAGUACUUUUGACAGCUAACUCUGCAAGAGAGAUACAGUGUUUCUGGACUUCUCCUGGCUUUAAAGUAACAGAUUAAGUGCAAUUGAAACUGUUGGGUUUUUUUUGUGAACUGGGGGAUUUAUAAGGACUACUUCUUUUUAAAGUUGCAAGCUUUGACUGUUACUGUGUCCCCCUAGAGGAGGUUUGAUAUUGCUACAAUAACAACUGGGCUAGGGGAAUUUUCCAUUUCAAAACAAACUCUAGCCGUGGGAUUGACCUUGGAUUUCUAUGAGAGUGUUAUGGCAGAUGGAAGAGGAAAGUUAGAGUUGACUCAGGAAAAAACUACUAGGUCUGGCAGACCCUAUCGGACAGAUACUGCGUCGCAGCGAAGAGCUUCAACAUCUGGUCCUUCUGGACCAUCUGGAUUAUCAGGGGCUGCACCCCCACAAGUUAAACCAAAAGUAAUGUUGUCUGAAGACGUUUUGGCUUUAGCACUAGGAAAAAUUAAUGAAUCUUUGGAAAAUUUAACUAAACAAGUAGCUGAAACAAAUAAACAAGUAGCUGAAACAAAUAAACAAGUAGCUGAAGCAUCAGUUAAAAUUGACCAAAAUACUACAAGUAUCAAUAAUUUGGGACAGAAGGUGAACACCAAUACAGAGACUAUUGAGAAAUUGUUACAGGAAUCUGCUUUGACUCGAAAGACAGCCGAAGAAGCAAAAGACAUAGCAACUGCUACUCAAGAGAAGAUACCACCGAUAUAUAGGCAACUCGAGGACCACGGUUUGACGUUGUCUAUGAUUGAAUUGAAGGAGAAACAAAGAAAUUUGAGAAUCAGGGCUGUACCAGAACUUGAGAAAGAUAACUUGACUGACUUUCUUACGCAGGAGUUUGCAGACUUCUGGCAACAGGAUUUGGGGAAGGAAGAAUUUAAGAUAGUGAGCGCAUUUAGACUUGGAAGAGGAGGAAGGAAGAACAAGGUGAGAGACUGUUUGAUUACCCUUCGAACAAAAGAGGAGAGAGACAAAAUCUUGAAUCUGCACUUCCGAAAGACUUUGGAAAUACAUGAGUCAAGUGUGGAGAUAAUUAAGGACAUUCUAAAACAUCUCUUGGAUUUAAGAUCUAACUACGGAGAUUUGGUCGCCCUGUUGAGAAGCAACAGAAUCAUCUUUAGGUGGGAAUUUCCCCAAGGCCUGUCCUUUAAAUAUAAAGGAAGAAAGAUAAAAAUAAGAUCAGUCGAUGACAAGGAUCGAGUUUUGAAAGACCACGGAGAAGACUUACAGAAAGAAGUGGAAUCUGGAGAAGAGCCAAGAGCACUGGAAAGAGGAAUAUUAGAUAUAGCAAAUUUAUCUUUUGGAUUGCAUGGUUCAGAGAAAGUGACAUCACCGACAGAACAAGAACAAACACUUGGUGCAGUUGGAGGUAAAGUAAAGUAAUCACAUCAUGGCUCUGCAACUAUUAAGUUGGAAUUGUAAUGGCCUCAACUCUCCUCGGAAAAGGAAAAGUGUUUUUCAUUUGUUAAAAAAGGAACAAUUGGACUUGAUUUGCUUACAGGAAACACACGUGAUAAGGCUACAUAGGAAAGUAUUGAUUAACAAGAAAUUGGGACAGGAGUUUAUUUCAUCUGACAAAGUUAAAAAAGAGGAGUAGUGAUUUAUGCAAAGGAGAGACUAUCACCGAAAUUCAUUUUUAAAGAUGAUCAAGGAAGAUUUGUGGCAAUUGAAAUUCAAGUUCAAGGAGAGAAAUUUUUGAUAGUAGGAAUUUAUGCACCGAAUGAGGGGAAAUCUGAAUUCUUCAAAAAGUUGCAUGAGACCUUAAUGGACUAUUUGGAUUACAAUCUGAUCUUGAUGGGAGAUAUGAAUGGAGUAGUAUCUACAAAUAUGGAUAAGGCACAAAGACAGGUAGUCACAAAGGAUGGUAGACUACCGAAAACAUUUUUUGAGAUGACAGACAACCUGGAUUUAGUUGAUACUUGGAGAACAAAGAAUCCCUUGGGAAGAGAGGGAACUUUCUUCUCUGAAGCCAAGAUGACAUGGACUAGAAUUGACCAAAUAUGGGUAACUAGAGGAAUGGCACCAAAGAUAAAGAAAGUGGAAAUUUGUCCAAAAACCUGCUCCGACCACAAUGCUGUAAGGAUGGAGAUGAAACUAAUAUCAACUGGCUCCUUCAGAUGGAGGAUGAAUGACACCUUAUUCAGAGAUGAACAAGUGUAUAAAAAGGCCCAAAAAACUUUGAGAGGCUAUUUUGAGAUAAACAUGAACACUAAGGUUGAAAAAAGAGUAAUCUGGGACGCAAGCAAAGCGGUUAUGAGAGGGUUCCUGAUACAACAGAAUGCAAUAAAGAAGAGAAGCCAAAAUGAGAAGAAAGAUAAAAUUUUGGAGAAAAUAAAAGAAAGUGAGAAGAAAUUGAGAGCAAAACCAAAGUCGCAGGAGAUUUUGAGAGAAAUAAAGCUAUAUCAAGUACAAUAUAUGGAAAUGAUGAAUCAGG